rnacentral:lncRNA from 1 species
UGUCCAAAACCUUUGUAGGAACUGUUUUCCAACCUUUUGGAGUUAGUUAGACCAAAUAAAAAUGAAAAAUGAAAAAAAAAUAUUUGGGGUGUUUUGGCUUCCUGAAGGUAAUACCCGGGUAUUAAGAUUUGGGGCUAGGGUUAGGUUUAAGGUUUUGGCGUUAGGGUUUAAAUCACUGUCCAAAACGUUUGUAGGAACUCUUUUCCAACCUUUUGGAGUUAGUUAGACCAAAAAGAAAUGAAAAAUGAAAAAAAAAUAUUUGUGGUGUUCGGGCUUCCUGAAGAUAAUACAUGGGUAUUAGGUUUUGGGGCUAGGGAAAGGUUUAAGGUUUUUGGCGUUAGGGUUAAAAUCACUGUCCAAAACCUUUGUAGGAACUCUUUUCCAACCAUUUGGAGUUAGUUAGACCAAAUAAAAAUGAAAAAUGAAAAAAAAAUAUUUGGCUUGUUUUGGCUUCCUGAAGAUAAUGCACGGGUAUUAGGUUUUGGGGCUAGGGUAAGGUUUAAGGUUUUUGGCGUUAGGGUUAAAAUCACUGUCCAAAACCUUUGUAGGAACUAUUUUCCAAGCUUUGGGAGUUAGUUAGACCAAAAAGAAAUGAAAAAUGAAAAAAAAAUAUUUGGGGUGUUCGGGCUUCCUGAAGGUAAUACCCGGGUAUAAGUUUUGGGGCUAUGGUAAGGUUUAAGGUUUUUGGCGUUAGGGUUAAAAUCACUGUCCAAAACCUUUGUAGGAACUCUUUUCCAACCUUUUGGAGUUAGUUACACCAAAUAAAAAUGAAAAAUGAAAAAAAAUAUAUUUGGGGUGUUUGGGCUUCCUGAAGGUAAUACCCGGGUAUUAGGUUAUGGGGCUGGGGUAAGGUUUAAGGUUUUUGGCGUUAGGGUUAAAAUCACUGUCCAAAACCUUUGUAGUAACUCUUUUCCAACCUUUUGGAGUUAGUUACACCAAAUAAAAAUGAAAAAUGAAAAAAAAUAUAUUUGGGGUGUUUGGGCUUCCUGAAGGUAAUACCCGGGUAUUAAGAGUUGGGGCUAGGGUAAGGUUUAAGGUUUUGGCGUUAGGGUUAAAAUCACUGUCCAAAACCUUUGUAGGAUCUCUUUUCCAACCUUUGGGAGUUAGUUAGACCAAAUAAAAAUGAAAAAUGAAAAAAAAAUAUUUGGGGUGUUUGGGCUUCCUGAAGGUAAUACCCGGGUAUUAAGAUUUGGGGCUAGGGUAAGGUUUAAGGUUUUGGCGUUAGGGUUUAAAUCACUGUCCAAAACCUUUGUAGGAACUGUUUUCCAACCUUUUGGAGUUAGUUAGACCAAAUAAAAAUGAAAAAUGAAAAAAAAUAUAUUUGGGGUGUUUGGGCUUCCUGAAGGUAAUACCCGGGUAUUAAGAGUUGGGGCUAGGGUAAGGUUUAAGGUUUUGGCGUUAGGGUUUAAAUCACUGUCCAAAACCUUUGUAGGAACUGUUUUCCAACCUUUUGGAGUUAGUUAGACCAAAUAAAAAUGAAAAAAACAAUAUUUGGCUUGUUUUGGCUUCCUGAAGAUAAUGCACGGGUAUUAGGUUAUGGGGCUAUGGUAAGGUUUAAGGUUUUUGGCGUUAGGGUUAAAAUCACUGUCCAAAACCUUUGUAGGAUCUCUUUUCCAAGCUUUUGGAGUUAGUUAGACCAAAAAAAAAGAAAAAUGAAAAAAAAAUAUUUGGGGUGUUCGGGCUUCCUGAAGGUAAUACCCGGGUAUUAGGUUUUGGGGCUUGGGUAAGGUUUAAGGUUUUUGGCGUUAGGGUUAAAAUGACUGUCCAAAACCUUUGUAGGAUCUCUUUUCCAAGCUUUUGGAGUUAGUUAGACCAAAAAAAAAGAAAAAUGAAAAAAAAAUAUUUGGGGUGUUCGGGCUUCCUGAAGGUAAUACCCGGGUAUAAGUUUUGGGGCUAUGGUAAGGUUUAACGUUUUUGGCGUUAGGGUUUAAAUCACUGUCCAAAACCUUUGUAGGAACUCUUUUCCAACCUUUUGGAGUUAGUUAGACCAAAUAAAAAUGAAAAAUGAAAAAAUAUAUAUUUGGGGUGUUUGGGCUUCCUGAAGGUAAUACCCGGGUAUUAAGAGUUGGGGCUAGGGUAAGGUUUAAAGUUUUUGGCGUUAGGGUUAAAAUCACUGUCCUAAACCUUUGUAGGAUCUCUUUUCCAAGCUUUUGGAGUUAGUUGGACCAAAAAAAAAGAAAAAUGAAAAAAAAAUAUUUGGGGUGUUCGGGCUUCCUGAAGGUAAUACCCGGGUAUUAGGUUUUGGGGCUAGGGGAAGGUUUAAGGUUUUUGGCGUUAGGGUUAAAAUGACUGUACAAAACCUUUGUAGGAUCUCUUUUCCAAGCUUUUGGAGUUAGUUAGACCAAAAAAAAAGAAAAAUGAAAAAAGAAUAUUUGGGGUGUUCGGGCUUCCUGAAGGUAAUACCCGGGUAUAAGUUUUGGGGCUAUGGUAAGGUUUAAGGUUUUUGGCGUUAGGGUUAAAAUCACUGUCCAAAACCUUUGUAGGAACUCUUUUCCAACCUUUUGGAGUUAGUUACACCAAAUAAAAAUGAAAAAUGAAAAAAAAUAUAUUUGGGGUGUUUGGGCUUCCUGAAGGUAAUACCCGGGUAUUAAGAUUUGGGGCUAGGGUAAGGUUUAAGGUUUUGGCGUUAGGGUUUAAAUCACUGUCCAAAACUUUGUAGGAACUCUUUUCCAACCUUUUGGAGUUAGUUAGACCAAAAAAAAGAAAAAUGAAAAAAAAAAUAUUUGGGGUGUUUGGGCUUCCUGAAGGUAAUACCCGGGUAUAAGUUUUGGGGCAAUGGUAAGGUUUAACGUUUUUGGCGUUAGGGUUUAAAUCACUGUCCAAAACCUUUGUAGGAACUCUUUUCCAACCUUUUGGAGUUAGUUAGACCAAAUAAAAAUGAAAAAUGAAAAAAAAUAUAUUUGGGGUGUUUGGGCUUCCUGAAGGUAAUACCCGGGUAUUAAGAGUUGGGGCUAGGGUAAGGUUUAAGGUUUUGGCGUUAGGGUUUAAAUCACUGUCCAAAACCUUUGUAGGAACUGUUUUCCAACCUUUUGGAGUUAGUUAGACCAAAUAAAAAUGAAAAAAAAACAAUAUUUGGCUUGUUUUGGCUUCCUGAAGAUAAUGCACGGGUAUUAGGUUUGGGGCUAUGGUAAGGUUUAAGGUUUUUGGCGUUAGGGUUAAAAUCACUGUCCAAAACCUUUUGUAGGAUCUCUUUUCCAAGCUUUUGGAGUUAGUUAGACCAAAAAAAAAGAAAAAUGAAAAAAAAAUAUUUGGGGUGUUCGGGCUUCCUGAAGGUAAUACCCGGGUAUUCGGUUAUGGGGCUAGGGAAAGGUUUAAAGUUUUUGGCGUUAGGGUUAAAAUCACUGUCCAAAACCUUUGUAGGAUCUCUUUUCCAAGCUUUUGGAGUUAGUUAGACCAAAAAAAAAGAAAAAUGAAAAAAAAAUAUUUGGGGUUUUCGGGCUUCCUGAAGGUAAUACUAUUAGGUUUUGGGGCUAGGGUAAGGUUUAAGGUUUUUGGCGUUAGGGUUAAAAUGACUGUCCAAAACCUAUUUAGGAACAUGUUUCAGACCUUUUGGAGUUGGUUACACCAAAUAAAAAUAAAAAAUAAAAAAAAUAUAUUUGGGGUGUUUGGGCUUCCUGAAGGUAAUACCCGGGUAUUAAGAGUUGGGGCUAGGGUAAGGUUUAAGGUUUUUGGCGUUAGGGUUAAAAUCACUGUCCAAAACCUUUGUAGGAACUGUUUUCCAACCUUUUGGAGUUAGUUAGACCAAAUAAAAAUGAAAAAUGAAAAAAUAUAUAUUUGGGGUGUUUGGGCUUCCUGAAGGUAAUACCCGGGUAUUAAGAGUUGGGGCUAGGGUAAGGUUUAAGGUUUUGGCGUUAGGGUUUAAAUCACUGUCCAAAACCUUUGUAGGAACUGUUUUCCAACCUUUUGGAGUUAGUUAGACCAAAUAAAAAUGAAAAAAAAACAAUAUUUGGCUUGUUUUGGCUUCCUGAAGAUAAUGCACGGGUAUUAGGUUUUGGGGCUAUGGUAAGGUUUAAGGUUUUUGGCGUUAGGGUUAAAAUCACUGUCCAAAACCUUUGUAGGAUCUCUUUUCCAAGCUUUUGGAGUUAGUUAGACCAAAAAAAAAGAAAAAUGAAAAAAAAAUAUUUGGGGUGUUCGGGCUUCCUGAAGGUAAUACCCGGGUAUUAGGUUAUGGGGCUAGGGAAAGGUUUAAAGUUUUUGGCGUUAGGGUUAAAAUCACUGUCCAAAACCUUUGUAGGAUCUCUUUUCCAAGCUUUUGGAGUUAGUUAGACCAAAAAAAAAGAAAAAUGAAAAAAAAAUAUUUGGGGUUUUCGGGCUUCCUGAAGGUAAUACUAUUAGGUUUUGGGGCUAGGGUAAGGUUUAAGAUUUUUUGGCGUUAGGGUUAAAAUGACUGUCCAAAACCUAUUUAGGAACAUGUUUCAGACCUUUUGGAGUUGGUUACACCAAAUAAAAAUAAAAAAUAAAAAAAAUAUAUUUGGGGUGUUCGGGCUUCCUGAAGGUAAUACCCGGGUAUAAGUUUUGGGGCUAUGGUAAGGUUUAAGGUUUUUGGCGUUAGGGUUAAAAUCACUGUCCAAAACCUUUGUAGGAACUCUUUUCCAACCUUUUGGAGUUAGUUAGACCAAAUAAAAAUGAAAAAUGAAAAAAAAUAUAUUUGGGGUGUUUGGGCUUCCUGAAGGUAAUACCCGGGUAUUAAGAGUUGGGGCUAGGGUAAGGUUUAAGGUUUUGGCGUUAGGGUUUAAAUCACUGUCCAAAACCUUUGUAGUAACUCUUUUCCAACCUUUUGGAGUUAGUUAGACUAAAAAAAAAGAAAGAUGAAAAAAAAAAAUAUUUGGGGUUUUCGGGCUUCCUGAAGGUAAUACUUUAAUAAUAUUAGGUUUUGGGGCUAGGGUAAGGUUUAAGGUUUUGGGCGUUAGGGUUAAAAUGACUGUCCAAAACCUAUUUAGGAACAUGUUUCAGACCUUUUGGAGUUGGUUACACCAAAUAAAAAUAAAAAAAAAUAAAAAAAUAUUUGGGGUGUUUGGGCUUCCUGAAGGUAAUACCCGGGUAUUAAGAGUUGGGGCUAGGGUAAGGUUUAAGGUUUUGGCGUUAGGGUUUAAAUCACUGUCCAAAACCUUUGUAGGAACUGUUUUCCAAGCUUUUGGAGUUAGUUAGACCAAAUAAAAAUGAAAAAUGAAAAAAAAUAUAUUUGGGGUGUUUGGGCUUCCUGAAGGUAAUACCCGGGUAUUAAGAGUUGGGGCUAGGGUAAGGUUUAAGGUUUUGGCGUUAGGGUUUAAAUCACUGUCCAAAACCUUUGUAGGAACUGUUUUCCAACCUUUUGGAGUUAGUUAGACCAAAUAAAAAUGAAAAAUGAAAAAAAAAUAUUUGGGGUGUUUGGGCUUCCUGAAGGUAAUACCCGGGUAUUAAGAGUUGGGGCUAGGGUAAGGUUUAAGGUUUUGGCGUUAGGGUUUAAAUCACUGUCCAAAACGUUUGUAGGAACUGUUUUCCAACCUGUUGGAGUUAGUUAGACCAAAAAGAAAUGAAAAAUGAAAAAAAAAUAUUUGUGGUGUUCGGGCUUCCUGAAGGAUAAUACACGGGUAUUAGGUUUUGGGGCUAAGGUUUAAGGUUUUUGGCGUUAGGGUUAAAAUCACUGUCCAAAACCUUUGUAGGAACUCUUUUCCAACCAUUUGGAGUUAGUUAGACCAAAUAAAAAUGAAAAAUGAAAAAAAAAUAUUUGGCUUGUUUUGGCUUCCUGAAGAUAAUGCACGGGUAUUAGGUUUUGGGGCUAGGGUAAGGUUUAAGGUUUUUGGCGUUAGGGUUAAAAUCACUGUCCAAAACCUUUGUAGGAACUAUUUUCCAAGCUUUGGGAGUUAGUUAGACCAAAAAGAAAUGAAAAAUGAAAAAAAAAUAUUUGGGGUUUUUAGGGAUUCCUGAAGGUAAUACCCGGGUAUUAGGUUUUGGGGCUAGGGGAAGGUUUAAGGUUUUUGGCGUUAGGGUUAAAAUGACUGUCCAAAACCUAUUUAGGAACAUGUUUCAGACCUUUUGGAGUUGGUUACACCAAAUAAAAAUAAAAAAUAAAAAAAAUAUAUUUGGGGUGUUCGGGCUUCCUGAAGGUAAUACCCGGGUAUAAGUUUUGGGGCUAUGGUAAGGUUUAAGGUUUUUGGCGUUAGGGUUAAAAUCACUGUCCAAAACCUUUGUAGGAACUCUUUUCCAAGCUUUUGGAGUUAGUUUGACCAAAAAGAAAUGAAAAAUGAAAAAAAAAUAUUUGUGGUGUUCGGGCUUCCUGAAGAUAAUACAUGGGUAUUAGGUUUUGUGGCUAGGGAAAGGUUUAAGGUUUUUGGCGUUAGGGUUAAAAUCACUGUCCAAAACCUUUGUAGGAACUCUUUUCCAACCUUUUGGAGUUAGUUAGACCAAAAAAAAUGAAAAAUGAAAAAGAAAUAUUUGGGGUUUUCGGGCUUCCUGAAGGUAAUACUAUUAGGUUUUGGGGCUAGGGUAAGGUUUAAGGUUUUUGGCGUUAGGGUUAAAAUCACUGUCCAAAACCUAUUUAGGAACAUGUUUCAGACCUUUUGGAGUUGGUUACACCAAAUAAAAAUAAAAAAUAAAAAAAAAAUAUUUGGGGUGUUUUGGCUUCCUGAAGAUAAUACCCGGGUAUUAAGAGUUGGGGCUAGGGUAAGGUUUAAGGUUUUGGCGUUAGGGUUUAAAUCACUGUCCAAAACCUUUGUAGGAACUGUUUUUCAACCUUUUGGAGUUAGUUAGACCAAAUAAAAAUGAAAAAUGAAAAAAAAUAUAUUUGGGGUGUUUGGGCUUCCUGAAGGUAAUACCCGGGUAUUAAGAGUUGGGGCUAGGGUAAGGUUUAAGGUUUUGGCGUUAGGGUUUAAAUCACUGUCCAAAACCUUUGUAGGAACUGUUUUCCAACCUUUUAGAGUUAGUUAGACCAAAUAAAAAUGAAAAAUGAAAAAAAAAUAUUUGGGGUGUUUGGGCUUCCUGAAGGUAAUACCCGGGUAUUAAGAUUUGGGGCUAGGGUAAGGUUUAAGGUUUUGGCGUUAGGGUUUAAAUCACUGUCCAAAACGUUUGUAGGAACUCGUUUCCAACCUUUUGGAGUUAGUUAGACCAAAAAGAAAUGAAAAAUGAAAAAAAAAUAUUUGUGGUGUUCGGGCUUCCUGAAGAUAAUACACGGGUAUUAAGUUUUGGGGCUAGGAAAAGGUUUAAGGUUUUUGGCGUUAGGGUUAAAAUCACUGUCCAAAACCUUUGUAGGAACUGUUUUCCAACCUUUGGGAGUUAGUUAGACCAAAUAAAAAUGAAAAAUGAAAAAAAAAAUAUUUGGGGUGUUUGGGCUUCCUGAAGGUAAUACCGGGGUAUUAAGAUUUGGGGCUAGGGUAAGGUUAAAGGUUUUGGCGUUAGGGUUUAAAUCACUGUCCAAAACGUUUGUAGGAACUCUUUUCCAACCUUUUGGAGUUAGUUAGACCAAAUAAAAAUGAAAAAAACAAUAUUUGGCUUGUUUUGGCUUCCUGAAGAUAAUGCACGGGUAUUAGGUUAUGGGGCUAUGGUAAGGUUUAAGGUUUUUGGCGUUAGGGUUAAAAUCACUGUCCAAAACCUUUGUAGGAUCUCUUUUCCAAGCUUUUGGAGUUAGUUAGACCAAAAAAAAAGAAAAAUGAAAAAAAAAUAUUUGGGGUGUUUGGGCUUCCUGGAGGUAAUACCCGGGUAUUAAGAGUUGGGGCUAGGGUAAGGUUUAAGGUUUUUGGCGUUAGGGUUAAAAUGACUGUCCAAAACCUUUGUAGGAUCUCUUUUCCAAGCUUUUGGAGUUAUUUAGACCAAAAAAAAAGAAAAAUGAAAAAAAAAUAUUUGGGGUGUUCGGGCUUCCUGAAGGUAAUACCCGGGUAUAAGUUUUGGGGCUAUGGUAAGGUUUAAGGUUUUUGGCGUUAGGGUUAAAAUCACUGUCCAAAACCUUUGUAGGAACUCUUUUCCAACCUUUUGGAGUUAGUUACACCAAAUAAAAAUGAAAAAUGAAAAAAAAUAUAUUUGGGGUGUUUGGGCUUCCUGAAGGUAAUACCCGGGUAUUAAGAGUUGGGGCUAGGGUAAGGUUAAAGGUUUUGGCGUUAGGGUUUAAAUCACUGUCCAAAACCUUUGUAGUAACUCUUUUCCAACCUUUUGGAGUUAGUUAGACCAAAAAAAAAGAAAAAUGAAAAAAAAAAUAUUUGGGGUGUUUGGGCUUCCUGAAGGUAAUACCCGGGUAUAAGUUUUGGGGCAAUGGUAAGGUUUAACGUUUUUGGCGUUAGGGUUUAAAUCACUGUCCAAAACCUUUGUAGGAACUCUUUUCCAACCUUUUGGAGUUAGUUAGACCAAAUAAAAAUGAAAAAUGAAAAAAAAUAUAUUUGGGGUGUUUGGGCUUCCUGAAGGUAAUACCCGGGUAUUAAGAGUUGGGGCUAGGGUAAGGUUUAAGGUUUUGGCGUUAGGGUUUAAAUCCCUGUCCAAAACCUUUGUAGGAUCUCUUUUCCAAGCUUUUGGAGUUAGUUGGACCAAAAAAAAAGAAAAAUGAAAAAAAAAUAUUUGGGGUGUUCGGGCUUCCUGAAGGUAAUACCCGGGUAUUAGGUUUUGGGGCUAGGGGAAGGUUUAAGGUUUUUGGCGUUAGGGUUAAAAUGACUGUCCAAAACCUUUGUAGGAUCUCUUUUCCAAGCUUUUGGAGUUAGUUAGACCAAAAAAAAAGAAAAAAAGGAAAAAAGAAUAUUUGGGGUGUUCGGGCUUCCUGAAGGUAAUACCCGGGUAUAAGUUUUGGGGCUAUGGUAAGGUUUAAGGUUUUUGGCGUUAGGGUUAAAAUCACUGUCCAAAACCUUUGUAGGAACUCUUUUCCAACCUUUUGGAGUUAGUUACACCAAAUAAAAAUGAAAAAUGAAAAAAAAUAUAUUUGGGGUGUUUGGGCUUCCUGAAGGUAAUACCCGGGUAUUAAGAUUUGGGGCUAGGGUAAGGUUAAAGGUUUUGGCGUUAGGGUUUAAAUCACUGUCCAAAACAUUUGUAGGAACUCUUUUCCAACCUUUUGGAGUUAGUUAGACCAAAAAAAAAGAAAAAUGAAAAAAAAAAAUAUUUGGGGUGUUUGGGCUUCCUGAAGGUAAUACCCGGGUAUAAGUUUUGGGGCUAUGGUAAGGUUUAACGUUUUUGGCGUUAGGGUUUAAAUCACUGUCCAAAACCUUUGUAGGAACUCUUUUCCAACCUUUUGGAGUUAGUUAGACCAAAUAAAAAUGAAAAAUGAAAAAAAAUAUAUUUGGGGUGUUUGGGCUUCCUGAAGGUAAUACCCGGGUAUUAAGAGUUGGGGCUAGGGUAAGGUUUAAGGUUUUGGCGUUAGGGUUUAAAUCACUGUCCAAAACCUUUGUAGGAACUGUUUUCCAACCUUUUGGAGUUAGUUAGACCAAAUAAAAAUGAAAAAUGAAAAAAUAUAUAUUUGGGGUGUUUGGGCUUCCUGAAGGUAAUACCCGGGUAUUAAGAGUUGGGGCUAGGGUAAGGUUUAAGGUUUUGGCGUUAGGGUUUAAAUCACUGUCCAAAACCUUUGUAGGAACUGUUUUCCAACCUUUUGGAGUUAGUUAGACCAAAUAAAAAUGAAAAAAAACAAUAUUUGGCUUGUUUUGGCUUCCUGAAGAUAAUGCACGGGUAUUAGGUUAUGGGGCUAUGGUAAGGUUUAAGGUUUUUGGCGUUAGGGUUAAAAUCACUGUCCAAAACCUUUGUAGGAUCUCUUUUCCAAGCUUUUGGAGUUAGUUAGACCAAAAAAAAAGAAAAAUGAAAAAAAAAUAUUUGGGGUGUUCAGGCUUCCUGAAGGUAAUACCCGGGUAUUCGGUUAUGGGGCUAGGGAAAGGUUUAAAGUUUUUGGCGUUAGGGUUAAAAUCACUGUCCAAAACCUUUGUAGGAUCUCUUUUCCAAGCUUUUGGAGUUAGUUAGACCAAAAAAAAAGAAAAAUGAAAAAAAAAUAUUUGGGGUUUUCGGGCUUCCUGAAGGUAAUACUAUUAGGUUUUGGGGCUAGGGUAAGGUUUAAGGUUUUUGGCGUUAGGGUUAAAAUGACUGUCCAAAACCUAUUUAGGAACAUGUUUCAGACCUUUUGGAGUUGGUUACACCAAAUAAAAAUAAAAAAUAAAAAAAAUAUAUUUGGGGUGUUUGGGCUUCCUGAAGGUAAUACCCGGGUAUUAAGAGUUGGGGCUAGGGUAAGGUUUAAGGUUUUGGCGUUAGGGUUUAAAUCACUGUCCAAAACCUUUGUAGGAACUCUUUUCCAACCUUUUGGAGUUAGUUAGACCAAAUAAAAAUGAAAAAUGAAAAAAUAUAUAUUUGGGGUGUUUGGGCUUCCUGAAGGUAAUACCCGGGUAUUAAGAGUUGGGGCUAGGGUAAGGUUUAAGGUUUUGGCGUUAGGGUUUAAAUCACUGUCCAAAACCUUUGUAGGAACUGUUUUCCAACCUUUUGGAGUUAGUUAGACCAAAUAAAAAUGAAAAAAAAACAAUAUUUGGCUUGUUUUGGCUUCCUGAAGAUAAUGCACGGGUAUUAGGUUUUGGGGCUAUGGUAAGGUUUAAGGUUUUUGGCGUUAGGGUUAAAAUCACUGUCCAAAACCUUUGUAGGAUCUCUUUUCCAAGCUUUUGGAGUUAGUUAGACCAAAAAAAAAAGAAAAAUGAAAAAAAAAUAUUUGGGGUGUUCGGGCUUCCUGAAGGUAAUACCCGGGUAUUAGGUUAUGGGGCUAGGGAAAGGUUGAAAGUUUUUGGCGUUAGGGUUAAAAUCACUGUCCAAAACCUUUGUAGGAUCUCUUUUCCAAGCUUUUGGAGUUAGUUAGACCAAAAAAAAAGAAAAAUGAAAAAAAAAUAUUUGGGGUUUUCGGGCUUCCUGAAGGUAAUACUAUUAGGUUUUGGGGCUAGGGUAAGGUUUAAGAUUUUUUGGCGUUAGGGUUAAAAUGACUGUCCAAAACCUAUUUAGGAACAUGUUUCAGACCUUUUGGAGUUGGUUACACCAAAUAAAAAUAAAAAAAAAAUAUAUAUAUUUGGGGUGUUCGGGCUUCCUGAAGGUAAUACCCGGGUAUACGUUUUGGGGCUAUGGUAAGGUUUAAGGUUUUUGGCGUUAGGGUUAAAAUCACUGUCCAAAACCUUUGUAGGAACUCUUUUCCAACCUUUUGGAGUUAGUUAGACCAAAUAAAAAUGAAAAAUGAAAAAAUAUAUAUUUGGGGUGUUUGGGCUUCCUGAAGGUAAUACCCGGGUAUUAAGAGUUGGGGCUAGGGUAAGGUUUAAGGUUUUGGCGUUAGGGUUUAAAUCACUGUCCAAAACCUUUGUAGUACCUCUUUUCCAACCUUUUGGAGUUAGUUAGACAAAAAAAAAAGAAAGAUGAAAAAAAAAAUAUUUGGGGUUUUCGGGCUUCCUGAAGGUAAUACUUUAAUAAUAUUAGGUUUUGGGGCUAGGGUAAGGUUUAAGGUUUUGGGCGUUAGGGUUAAAAUGACUGUCCAAAACCUAUUUAGGAACAUGUUUCAGACCUUUUGGAGUUGGUUACACCAAAUAAAAAUAAAAAAAAAUAAAAAAAUAUUUGGGGUGUUUGGGCUUCCUGAAGGUAAUACCCGGGUAUUAAGAGUUGGGGCUAGGGCAAGGUUUAAGGUUUUGGCGUUAGGGUUAAAAUCACUGUCCAAAACCUUUGUAGGAACUGUUUUCCAAGCUUUUGGAGUUAGUUAGACCAAAUAAAAAUGAAAAAUGAAAAAAAAUAUAUUUGGGGUGUUUGGGCUUCCUGAAGGUAAUACCCGGGUAUUAAGAGUUGGGGCUAGGGUAAGGUUUAAGGUUUUGGCGUUAGGGUUUAAAUCACUGUCCAAAACCUUUGUAGGAACUGUUUUCCAACCUUUUGGAGUUAGUUAGACCAAAUAAAAAUGAAAAAUGAAAAAAAAAUAUUUGGGGUGUUUGGGCUUCCUGAAGGUAAUACCCGGGUAUUAAGAGUUGGGGCUAGGGUAAGGUUUAAGGUUUUGGCGUUAGGGUUUAAAUCACUGUCCAAAACGUUUGUAGGAACUGUUUUCCAACCUGUUGGAGUUAGUUAGACCAAAAAGAAAUGAAAAAUGAAAAAAAAAUAUUUGUGGUGUUCGGGCUUCCUGAAGAUAAUACACGGGUAUUAGGUUUUGGGGCUAGGGAAAGGUUUAAGGUUUUUGGCGUUAGGGUUAAAAUCACUGUCCAAAACCUUUGUAGGAACUCUUUUCCAACCAUUUGGAGUUAGUUAGACCAAAUAAAAAUGAAAAAUGAAAAAAAAAUAUUUGGCUUGUUUUGGCUUCCUGAAGAUAAUGCACGGGUAUUAGGUUUUGGGGCUAGGGUAAGGUUUAAGGUUUUUGGCGUUAGGGUUAAAAUCACUGUCC